CGAACGCUGGCGGCAGGCCUAAUACAUGCAAGUCGAGCGGUCCCUUCGGGGGCAGCGGCGGACGGGUGAGUAACGCGUGGGAACGUGCCCUUUGGUACGGAACAACUGAGGGAAACUUCAGCUAAUACCGUAUGUGCCCUUCGGGGGAAAGAUUUAUCGCCAUUGGAGCGGCCCGCGUUGGAUUAGGUAGUUGGUGAGGUAAAGGCUCACCAAGCCUACGAUCCAUAGCUGGUCUGAGAGGAUGAUCAGCCACACUGGGACUGAGACACGGCCCAGACUCCUACGGGAGGCAGCAGUAGGGAAUCUUGCGCAAUGGGCGAAAGCCUGACGCAGCCAUGCCGCGUGAAUGAUGAAGGUCUUAGGAUUGUAAAAUUCUUUCACCGGGGACGAUAAUGACGGUACCCGGAGAAGAAGCCCCGGCUAACUUCGU
rnacentral:rRNA from 1 species